rnacentral:rRNA from 1 species
UACGUAGGGGGCAAGCGUUGCCCGGAUUUAUUGGGCGUAAAGAGCGUGUAGGCGGCCAGACAGGUCCGUUGUGAAAACUCGAGGCUCAACCUCGAGACGCCGAUGGAAACCGUCUGGCUAGAGUCCGGAAGAGGAGAGUGGAAUUCCCGGUGUAGCGGUGAAAUGCGCAGAUAUCGGGAAGAACACCCGUGGCUAAGGCGGCUCUCUAGUACGGUACUGACGCUGAGACGCGAAAGCGUGGGGAGCGAACAGG